GUGAGUAAUGCCUGGGAAAUUGCCCGGUAGAGGGGGAUAACCAUUGGAAACGAUGGCUAAUACCGCAUAACCUCGCAAGAGCAAAGCAGGGGACCUUCGGGCCUUGCGCUACCGGAUAUGCCCAGGUGGGAUUAGCUAGUUGGUGAGGUAAGGGCUCACCAAGGCGACGAUCCCUAGCUGGUCUGAGAGGAUGAUCAGCCACACUGGAACUGAGACACGGUCCAGACUCCUACGGGAGGCAGCAGUGGGGAAUAUUGCACAAUGGGCGCAAGCCUGAUGCAGCCAUGCCGCGUGUAUGAAGAAGGCCUUCGGGUUGUAAAGUACUUUCAGUAGGGAGGAAGGUGGUUAAGUUAAUACCUUAAUCAUUUGACGUUACCUACAGAAGAAGCACCGGCUAACUCCGUGCCAGCCGCCGCGGUAAUU
rnacentral:rRNA from 1 species